rnacentral:pre_miRNA from 1 species
UAAUUAUUCCUCCGUCCCAUAAUUCUUGUCGAAAUAUUACAUGUAUCUAGACACUUUUUAGAAAUAGAUACAUCAGUAUUGGGGUAAAUUUGAGACAAGAAUUAUGGAACGGAGGGAGUACUAG